UUCCACGUGUCGGAAGCAGAGGAGGAAUUGAUGUGAUGUUUACUUCAUUUUCAGACUGCCUUCGUCUUCUGCCUCCCACGCCUGGGUGAUGAAGCCUUUUUGGAGCCAAGGCACAUUGUUUGCGUGGAACAAAUGCGGAGGCACACCACCAGCACACAGCAGUGAAAAACGCAACUCAGUUGACAGUAAAAAAAUCGUUGUCACAAUUGUUGGAUAUGACUUCCGAAAGGGACAAUUGGUAGAAAAAUGGAUGGAUGGAUGGACUUUAUUUUUUUAAAUUUUUUAAUUAUUUAUUAUUUUUUUUAAAUUUUUUAAAUUUUUUUAAUUUUUUUUUUGUGUCAUGGACUUUAAAUCAUAACCAAGCAUGCAUCACUAUAGCUCUUGUCUCAAAGUAGGUGUACUGUCACCACCUGUCACAUCACACCCUGACUUAUUUGGACUUUUUUGCUGUUUUCCUGUGUGUAGUGUUUUACUUCCUGUCUUGCGCUCCUAUUUUGGUGGCUUUUUCUCUUGUUUUGGUAUUUUCCUGUAGCAGUUUCAUGUCUUCCUUUGAGCGAUAUUUCCCGCAUCUACUUUGUUUUAGCAAUCAAGAAUAUUUCACUUGUUUUUAUCCUUCUUUGUGGGGACAUUGUUGAUUGUCAUGUCAUGUUCGGAUGUACAUUGUGGACGCCGUCUUUGCUCCUCUGUAAGUCUUUGCUGUCGUCCAGCAUUCUGUUUUUGUUUACUUUGUAGCCAGUUCAGUUUUAGUUUGGUUCUGCAUAGCCUUCCCUAAGCUUCAAUGCCUUUUCUUAGGGGCACUCACCUUUUGUUUAUUUUUGGUUUAAGCAUUAGACACCUUUUUACCUGCAUUUACAAAGCAAUUAGCUACCGGCUGCCACCUACUGGUAUGGAAGAGUAUUACAUGGUUACUCUGCCGAGCUCUAGACCAGUGGUUCUUAACCUGGGUUGGAUGGAACCCUAGGGGUUCGGUGAGUCGGCCUCAGGGGUUCGGCGGAGGUCAAGACACACCCGACUCAUCGUGUAAAUACAAACUUCUCCCUAUCGGCGU